rnacentral:misc_RNA from 1 species
UGCAAAAAUCACUUGCAAGCCAGAAUAUGCUUAUGGAAGUGCUGGUUCUCCACCAGACAUCCCACCAGAUGCAACUCUUAUUUUUGAGGUGGAAUUAGUGGCGUGCAAGCCUCGGAAAGGUUCAAGUCUAGGCAGUGUUUCUGAGGAAAGGGCCAGGCUCGAAGAAUUGAAAAGGCAAAGGGAGGCUACUGCUGCAUUGAAAGAGGAGGAGAAGAAAAAGAGAGAUGAAGCCAAAGCAGCAGCAGCUGCCCGCAUUCAAGCCAAGUUAGAGUCUAAAAAGGGCGGAAAGGGGAAGAACAAAGCAAAAUAAUGUCGAUACCCUGUCGCAACUAAUGCUGUUACAGUGUUAA